GCCUGGGUGGCUCAAUCGGUUAAGUGUCUGACUUCGGCUCAGGUCAUGAUCUCAUGGUUUGUGAGUUCGAGUCCCACAUCAGGCU
rnacentral:tRNA from 1 species